rnacentral:misc_RNA from 1 species
GACUAUGACGGUGGAGUCUGAUUCGAUGAGUUUAUAUACUGCCUUUAUGUUUCGCACAGAAGACGCCAAAUUGAGUUGUGUCAAUGGUACCCCUUUGGGUCUGCUGGUAGUGCCGGAGGUGUGAAGGAAGAGUGCGACGUCGGAUGGCUCGUUGGCAAGCUGAGCGAGAGACAUAACGUCUGACUUCGGGUCCGGAAGUGAGAGUACCAAUCCAGAAUCGGCUCCGGGCAGUGCAACUGUGGCAUGACGAAUGUUGAGCUUGGAAGCCGCAGCUUGAGCGGAGCUGUUCCCUUCCUGUAGGGUCAGUAAGAGCUUUGACUCUGAGUCCGACAGGUAGAACUCAAAUUCCUCCAUGGUGUAGACGGAAUUAAGUGGUGCCGCCGUAGCUCGGGCUCGGAUUACGGCCAAAAACAUAAUUACAAACUCUAUAGUAUUAGGGAAAGUUAGCGCAACAACAUCUCCUGGCUUAAUACCCGCAGCAACCAGACGAGAAGCGGCUUUUUCAACCAGUUCAUGAAGGCGAGAGUGCGUCAAAUCAAACUUGCCCGAAACUGAGACUGCUAUUCUGUGAGGGAAGUCUCCGGCGAUGCGUUUCAAUAACCCAGUGAUCAUAAAACUAUCCAUGUUGUUCUCUGGAACAAGAAGAUAAGAAGAGAUGAUUAUGGUGAAUAUCAGA